rnacentral:rRNA from 1 species
AUUUACAACGUAACCGUUGUGUUUGAUCCUGGCUCAGGACGAACGCUGGCUGCGUGCUUAACACAUGCAAGUCGAACGCUGAAGCCGACAGCUUGCUGUUGGUGGAUGAGUGGCGAACGGGUGAGUAACACGUGAGUAACCUGCCCCUGAUUUCGGGAUAAGCCUGGGAAACUGGGUCUAAUACCGGAUAUGACCAAUCCUUGCAUGAGGGUUGGUGGAAAGUUUUUCGAUCGGGGAUGGGCUCGCGGCCUAUCAGCUUGUUGGUGGGGUAAUGGCCUACCAAGGCGACGACGGGUAGCCGGCCUGAGAGGGCGACCGGCCACACUGGGACUGAGACACGGCCCAGACUCCUACGGGAGGCAGCAGUGGGGAAUAUUGCACAAUGGGGGAAACCCUGAUGCAGCGACGCAGCGUGCGGGAUGACGGCCUUCGGGUUGUAAACCGCUUUCAGCAGGGAAGAAGCGAAAGUGACGGUACCUGCAGAAGAAGUACCGGCUAACUACGUGCCAGCAGCCGCGGUAAUACGUAGGGUACGAGCGUUGUCCGGAAUUAUUGGGCGUAAAGAGCUCGUAGGUGGUUGGUCACGUCUGCUGUGGAAACGCAACGCUUAACGUUGCGCGUGCAGUGGGUACGGGCUGACUAGAGUGCAGUAGGGGAGUCUGGAAUUCCUGGUGUAGCGGUGAAAUGCGCAGAUAUCAGGAGGAACACCGGUGGCGAAGGCGGGACUCUGGGCUGUAACUGACACUGAGGAGCGAAAGCAUGGGGAGCGAACAGGAUUAGAUAGCCCUGGUAGUCCAUGCCGUAAAUCGUUGGGCAUCUAGGUGUGGGGGACAUCCCACGUUUUCCCGCGCCGUAGCUAACGCAUUAAGUGCCCCCGCCUGGGAUACCCCCGAA